UGCAGUGUUAUGUUCCUGCUUUCAAGGUUUCUCUGGAGUUGAGCGGCUGUGAAUUCGAGAAACUCUGAAAUUAGAAGAACGGAGAUGAAGCCCGCCUUGAGGAUAUAAACGAAGGUAACUGGCAUGAUAAAGAACCGAUCCUAUAGCCUGAAGGAGAUCCCUGCAGUAAGG